AAUUCACUGCCAUAUAUUUAAAAGUUUCUGUGGGAGGUAUUAUCAGAUUUUUUAAACUCUUAAAUAUCAUUAUUACAUUGUUGAAUACUCGAUUCUGAUUGGUCAAUUGGUCUAUAACAGACGUAAGUAAGCAAUAAGCGGGAUAAUGUACAGCGAAAUUAACCCCGUCAGGUUGAUUCUAGACCUCCUGCAUCACCUGGUCGGGGUUAAUUUCGCAGUAAUGACCGGCUCCCUGUACAUUAUCCCUUACAUAUAAGUAUGAGCCUCAAAAAGCAACUAUCGGUCGGGCCAUCAUGCAUAAUAUUACAGCAAACUUCAAUGAAAUCUACGGAAACACUUGCUUUCUACUACGUUUAUGUUUAUGUUUAGCAGCUGAACACAGCUGCACAUGCAGGCAGAAAUAAACCGCCCAUAGCAACAGAUCCUGACACCCUAGCAACCAGAAACGUUUCCCGACCGGACAAGAGAAGCACAAAGCCAGACGUGACAACAAACAGAUGGCAGGAGAGAGAAGAUCAAACUGCCUGGGGACGUGACAGACGUGAGAGAGGCCGCUCUCCUCCGCCAACCGUCCACGUUAUCUUUCUCACCUUGCGGCUGACGUCAUCACGCAGGGGUCCCACAACAACACAUGCUGCCACAUGAUGAUUCUGGUUCUUCAGCAUGUUCCUCUUGUUUUGUUUUGUUUUUCUCAUAUAAACAGUCAACUCACAGCUCAAAAGCUACCACUUUAAUUGUCCGCAGGAGAAUACAGCUUCAAUGGAAAUCAACGACUCCACCUGCAUGCAAUUCCUGCAUAUCUGACCUCUUGUCAUUCCUGAAACUUGAAAAAUAUUACAUUUGGAUUAAGAGGAUGCUCAGGCAAAUUCUACUCCCAUUGGCAACCCAUAAUCUCUUCUUUUUUUAGAAGCCUGUCAUUUGACAACAUCCAAAUUUGAGAAUGUGAGAGAUGCAGAGAAACAGUUUCAAUAGGACCUGGAGGGUUUCUUUAAUAUUUAUUUAUUUAUCUAUCUUCUUCCUUCUACUGUACUUAUAAUUGCAUGCUCACCUACUUUUUGUAUUAGUUCUGCUUGAUUUGUCUCUUAUGUUGAAUAUUUCUAUACUUUUGUAAUACUCCAAAUACAUAAAGUAACCUAUUACAUUAAUCAGUCAAUAUUUAUUCCAGCACUCUGCACUCUGCAACUAUUGAAUUCUUGUUGUUCUUGUAUGUUGUUCUAUCUAUCUUCCUGAAAAUGUUCUUGUGUAAGUACAUGGAGAGCAGAAUCCUUGUAUGUUUACACAUAGCUGGUAAAUAAAGCUGAUUCUGUGCA